AAUGAACGCUGGCGGCGUGCUUAACACAUGCAAGUCGAACGAGAAAGCUCUUCGGAGUGAGUAAAGUGGCAGAUUGGUGAGUAACACGUGGGUAUCUGCAUUUUAGUAGGGAAUAUGUUUGAGAAAUUAAAUUUAAUACCAUAUAUUUUCCGAAAGGAAGAAAGGGGGCUUCUUUGCUCUCGCUAAAAUAUGAGCCUGCGCACUAUUAGCUAGUUGGUGAGGUAAAUGCUUACCAAGGCAAUGAUAGUUAUCCGGCCUGAGAGGGUGAUCGGACACAUUGGGACUGAGAUAUGGCCCUGACUCCUACGGGAGGCAGCAGUGGGGAAUUUUGCGCAAUGGACGAAAGUCUGACGCAGCAACGCCGCGUGGAGGAUGAAGCUCUUUGGAGUGUAAACUUCUGUUGAUCGGGAAGAAAAGUUAGUAGUUAAUACCUGCUAUAAUGACGUUACCGAUAUAGAAAGCACCGGCUAAUCUCGUG
rnacentral:rRNA from 1 species